GUUGGGGGAGGAUUAUAGGGAGAGGGAGAGAGGGAAUCUCAAGGCAGACUCCCUACUGAGCAUGGGGCAGGCACAGGGCUCGAUCUCAUGACCCUGAGAUCAUGACCUGAGCCGAAAUCAAGAGUCAUGCACUUAACUGACUGAGCCACCCAGGUGCCCUUAAGUUGUCAUUUUUAAUAUUAACACAAAGACAUGAUACCAAGAAGGAAACCUAAAGAGAAUUGUUCAAGACCUAGGUGUACAUAAUUAUAACAUGUUCUGCAGGAUAUAAAAGGAAGACUGGAAAAAUGAAGAGAGCUACUUGGUUCUUGCAUAGAACUACAGAAGCCUGGGGAAUAGGGAAACAAUGGUUGCCUCCGAGAGAAGGAACUCAGAGGCACCACACUUAGUUUUCAAGGCCAUGUGCAAGCUAUCUCUGAGCAAAUGGGACAUUUUUGAACCUUUGUCAAGCAACAUGCUGCAGAUAACAAAAUGUACAUGCUGGGACUGAUGAAAUUCUGCAAAGGAACAAUGCAAUGAAUGUCAACAUAGGAUACUACUGCUUCUAAUGAGUAGAGAAUUCCACAAGACUGGCUGCCAUCUUGUCCAUGUAGCUUUUUUGGCUUGGAAAAGUGUCUCCUAUAUAUGUAACUGCACUUCAAAAAGAAAUAUUUGAAAGUACAGAAAGACAUAAAAUUAAAAGUGAGUUUUCCUAUCAACUCCUCCUGCUGCUUUCUUCCAUAAAACUAAAUACUAACCUUUCUAUUAAUCUAUCAACAAUAAAUAUUUCUACUGGCUUCCA
rnacentral:lncRNA from 1 species